rnacentral:rRNA from 1 species
ACUCUCGCUUCUGGCUCCAAGCGCCUGGCGCAUGCCGGGUGCAACCCGCUCUGAGGACAGUGGCAGGUGGGGAGUUUGACUGGGGCGGUACACCUGUUAAACCGUAACGCAGGUAUCCUAAGGCGAGCUCAGGGAGGACAGAAACCUCCCGCGGAGCAGAAGGGCAAAAGCUUGCUUGAUCUUGAUUUUCAGUAUGAAUACAGACAGUGAAAGCGGGGCCUCACGAUCCUAGUUCAAGAUUAUUAUUUUAAUGUAU